CUGUAGAAGUAACAGUGAACUGGCGCUUUUGCCCUUUACUAAACCUAAAAAACCUUUCAUGCCUUUAUUUCAUUUCCUUUUCUAACCAUUCUUUCCAUUGCUAAUUACACUUCUUAAUUCCCCAUUAUUUUUCAAUUGUGUUUUCUCACAUCUGUUCUUUUGUUCAGUUUGGUUCAGCUUCGCCUCUUUAUCAAUCAUUCCGAUCGUAGAUUCGUAUGAGCAUCACCAUUGUCCAUCACUAUAAGAAUUUUGUGGCGGAUGAUGCUAAUGCUAAAAGCGAGGAAAUGCUUUGAGUUUGAAAUUUUAAAACGGAUUAAAAGCUCAAUACCUAGCUCUGUUCUCGCUUCAAUCGUUCUACUGAUAAGAAGCAAUCAUAUUUGAAUGUUUAUCUGGAAAGCCUAAGCUGGAAGUCAUUCGACUAACUCCGUUGAGAAAAUUAGCACAAAUUACUCUUUUUAAGGAGGAAUUGAUGAAAAAACAAUUAUUUCACCCGGUGUGAUGACCACGAUUUUCGGGAUGAUUUUUCACGUGUAAAGGACUUCAGACUUCUGCAAAGCUAAAUCUUCUUUGCUACUUACAAAAGUUAGGUGUGAAUUUCUAUUUAUAUUUAUGAGGCCAACUUGAUUCAGUUAAUUUGCAAAGCCAUAAAUCUUCUCCCUAGGUCAAUCCUUCUAUUUCUCCUUCAUUUUGUAGUGUUUGCUCAAUCUCUAUGAUUCUUGCAUAGUCAGUAUACGUCCAUUCCAUACCAAAUAAAGUUUAAAACCAUGAAAACAGAUCAUUCAUAGUUGUAAAUUAAUUUUGAAGGUACAAUCUUUACGGAUGUUCACUUCUAGCUUAAAAUAUCAGUUUCAGGAAUUUCGCAGUAACCACCUAAGGGACUACUACAUCUGAAAAACAAGGCUCUUUUUAAAGAGGUGGGAAUUGCAUUAUGCGGUUCUAUUUGUCAAAUUCCGUAGUUUAGACGUGCAAAAGGUUUAUUUGUUCAAAUUAUAUACAUGUUUGAGAUAUAUAAAUACGUGAAUUACAUUGAUGAAAUGUAUAAAUAUGUGAAUUAUAUAGAUUCAGUUGUGGAUA